rnacentral:rRNA from 1 species
GGCGGCGUGCCUAACACAUGCAAGUCGAACGCGAAAGUCCCGCAAGGGAUAAGUAGAGUGGCAAACGGGUGAGUAACACGUGGGUGACCUGCCUUCGAGCGGGGGAUAACGUCCCGAAAGGGACGCUAAUACCGCAUAACAUCCUGCCUUUUAAGAGGUGGAGAUCAAAGCCGGGGAUUCGCAAGAACCUGGCACUUGAAGAGGGGCCCGCGCCUGAUUAGCUAGUUGGUGGGGUAAUGGCUCACCAAGGCAACGAUCAGUAUCCGGCCUGAGAGGGCGGACGGACACACUGGGACUGAGACACGGCCCAGACUCCUACGGGAGGCAGCAGUGGGGAAUUGUUCGCAAUGGGCGCAAGCCUGACGACGCAACGCCGCGUGGAGGAUGAAGACCUUCGGGUCGUAAACUCCUUUCGAUCGAGACGAAUGGUUUCCGGGUGAACAAUCCGGAAAAGUGACGGUACCGAGAGAAGAAGCCCCGGCUAACUCCGUGCCAGCAGCCGCGGUAAUACGGGGGGGGCAAGCGUUGUUCGGAAUUACUGGGCGUAAAGGGCUC